CUUUGAGGCCUUACCACCAUGGACACGCCCCAACUGGUCUGAUCAUGGAAGCUAAGCAUGGUAGGGCCUGGUUAGUACUUGGAUGGGAGACCGCCUGGGAAUACCAGGUGCUGUACGUU
ensembl:rRNA 5S_rRNA 5S ribosomal RNA